rnacentral:rRNA from 1 species
GAUCAACGCUGGCGGCGUGCCUAAUGCAUGCAAGUCGGACGGCCGGCCUUCGGGCCGGUACGUGGCGGACGGGUGAGGAACACGUGGGCAAUCUGCCCAUUGGUGGGGGGUAGCCGGCGGAAACGCCGGGUAAUUCCGCAUACGCUCGCUGACCGCGUGGGGUUGGUGAGGAAAGCCUUCGGGCGCCGAUGGAGGAGCCUGCGGCCGAUUAGCUAGUUGGGGGGGUAACGGCUUCCCAAGGCGAUGAUCGGUAGCUGGUCUGAGAGGAUGGCCAGCCACACGGGGACUGAGACACGGCCCCGACUCCUACGGGAGGCAGCAGCAAGGAAUUUUCCGCAAUGGGCGCAAGCCUGACGGAGCAACGCCGCGUGCGGGAUGACGCGUUUCGGCGUGUAAACCGCUGUUCGGGGGGACGAAGCACUGACGGUACCCCCGGAGGAAGGCCCGGCUAACUACGUGCCAGCCGCCGCGGUAAAAC